rnacentral:tRNA from 1 species
GGAGAGGUGGAUGAGCGGUUUAAGUCGCACGCCUGGAAAGCGUGUGUAGGGUAAUCCCCUACCGAGGGUUCGAAUCCCUCCCUCUCCGCCA